rnacentral:rRNA from 1 species
GGGAAACAGGUUAAUAUUCCUGUACUUGGUAAAGCUGCGAUGUGGGGACGGAGUAGGUUAGGUUAUCGCACUGUUGGAUAUGUGCGUUUAAGUUGGUAGGUGGGAAGUUUAGGCAAAUCCGGACUUCUAUUAAACACUGAGAGAUGAUGACGAGGCUCUAAGGAGCUGAAGUAACUGAUACCACACUUCCAGGAAAAGCCACUAAGCGACAGGCUUUACUAAACCGUACUGAAAACCGACACAGGUGGUCAGGUAGAGAAUACUCAGGCGCUUGAGAGAACUCGGGUGAAGGAACUAGGCAAAAUAGCACCGUAACUUCGGGAGAAGGUGCGCCGGCGUAGAUUGUAAGGGCUAGCCCCUGAAGGUUGAACCGGUCGAAGAUACCAGCUGGCUGCAACUGUUUAUUAAAAACACAGCACUCUGCAAACACGAAAGUGGAGGUAUAGGGUGUGAUGCCUGCCCGGUGCUGGAAGGUUAAUUGAUGGUGUAAUCGCAAGAGAAGCACCUGAUCGAAGCCCCAGUAAACGGCGGCCGUAACUAUAACGGUCCUAAGGUAGCGAAAUUCCU